rnacentral:rRNA from 1 species
CCCUUAGACGUCCUGGGCCGCACGCGAGCUACACUGCGGUGUUCAAUAAGUCCUGCUUGGCCGAGAGGUCCGGCAAAUCUUUGAAAGCACUGCGUGAUUGGGAUUGUCGCUUGAAAUUUUUCGACAUGAACGAGGAAUGCCUUGUAAGCGUAGGUCAUCAGCCUACGUUGAAUACGUCCCUGCCCUUUGUACACACCGCCCGUCGCUCCUACCGAUGGCUGAGGAAGUGAGGAUGUUGGAUUGCAGCGACGUCUCGGGGGCAACUCCGUUGUUGCAGCGAGAAAACAUUCGAACUUUCUCUGUUAGAGGAAGGAGAAGUCGUAACA